CUGCGAAUAUUCUCGCUGUUCUGAUUUUGUAAUAAUCAGGGCAGGCUAAACAUUCGCUAUAUUAAGACCAUGCAUGUGUCCCCAGACCUAGUUCUUNNN
rnacentral:snoRNA from 1 species